UUGACGCAUUUGUUUCCUUGGGAAUUCUAUACAUAAAAGCUAAGAAAGGUUUUAGGAGCCACACGAGGUUGUCUACAAUGGUUUUACUAUUUCUCACGAAU
rnacentral:lncRNA from 1 species